rnacentral:miRNA from 1 species
AAAUUGCCACCAGGUCAGAUGG